GACGAACGCUGGCGGCGUGCUUAACACAUGCAAGUCGAACGGCAAGGCCCUGCUUUUGUGGGGUGCUCGAGUGGCGAACGGGUGAGUAACACGUGAGUAACCUGCCCUUGCCUUUGGGAUGACUUCAGGAAACUGGGGCUAAUACCGGAUAGGAGCUCCUGCUGCAUGGUGGGGGUUGGAAAUUUUCGGCGGUUGGGGAUGGACUCGCGGCUUAUCAGCUUGUUGGUUGGGUAGGGGCUUACCAAGGCUUUGACGGGUAGCCGGCCUGAGAGGGUGGACGGCGACCUUAGGACUGCGGUAGGCCCCAGACGCGAACGGUAGGCAGCAGUGGGGAACAUGGCACAAUGGGCCGACGUCUGAUGAAGAAACGUCGCGUGCGGGAUGACGGCCUUCGGGUUGUGAAAAGCUUUCGCCUGUGACGAAGCGUGAGUGACGGUAAUGAGUAAAGAAGCACCGGCUAACUACGUG
rnacentral:rRNA from 1 species